AUUGAACGCUGGCGGAAUGCUUUACACAUGCAAGUCGAACGGCAGCACGGGGGCAACCCUGGUGGCGAGUGGCGAACGGGUGAGUAGUACAUCGGAACGUGCCCAGUCGUGGGGGAUAACGUAGCGAAAGUUACGCUAAUACCGCAUACGAUCUACGGAUGAAAGCGGGGGACCGUAAGGCCUCGCGCGAUUGGAGCGGCCGAUGUCAGAUUAGGUAGUUGGUGAGGUAAAGGCUCACCAAGCCGACGAUCUGUAGCUGGUCUGAAAGGACGACCAGCCACACUGGGACUGAGACACGGCCGAGACUCCUACGGGAGGCAGCAGUGGGGAAUUUUGGACAAUGGGCGCAAGCCUGAUCCAGCCAUUCCGCGUGCAGGACGAAGGCCUUCGGGUUGUAAACUGCUUUUGUACGGAACGAAAAGGCUCUGGUUAAUACCUGGGGCUCAUGACGGUACCGUAAGAAUAAGCACCGGCUAACUACGUGCCAGCCGCCGCCGUAA
rnacentral:rRNA from 1 species